CCUACGGGAGGCAGCAGUCGAGAAUCAUUCACAAUGGGGGAAACCCUGAUGGUGCGACGCCGCGUGGGGGAAUGAAGGUCUUCGGAUUGUAAACCCCUGUCAUGUGGGAGCAAAUUAAAAAGAUAGUACCACAAGAGGAAGAGACGGCUAACUCUGUGCCAGCAGCCGCGGUAAUACAGAGGUCUCAAGCGUUGUUCGGAAUCACUGGGCGUAAGGCGUGCGUAGGCUGUUUCGUAAGUCGUGUGUGAAAGGCGCGGGCUCAACCCGCGGAUGGCACAUGAUACUGCGAGACUAGAGUAAUGGAGGGGGAACCGGAAUUCUCGGUGUAGCAGUGAAAUGCGUAGAUAUCGAGAGGAACACUCGUGGCGAAGGCGGGUUCCUGGACAUUAACUGACGCUGAGGCACGAAGGCCAGGGGAGCGAAAGGGAUUAGAUACCCUGGUAGUC
rnacentral:rRNA from 1 species